rnacentral:tRNA from 1 species
GUUGAGAUGGUGGAGUUGAUUUAAGGUGUCAGAUUAAGGUUCUGAUCUGAAAGGGCGUGAGUUCAAAUCUCAUUCUCAACA